rnacentral:rRNA from 1 species
GAUGAACGCUAGCGAUAGGCUUAACACAUGCAAGUCGAGGGGCAGCAUGAUCUUAGCUUGCUAAGGUCGAUGGCGACCGGCGCACGGGUGCGUAACGCGUAUGCAACUUGCCUUACAGAGGGGGAUAACCCGUUGAAAGACGGACUAAAACCGCAUACACUUGUAUUAUUGCAUGAUAUUACAAGGAAAUAUUUAUAGCUGUAAGAUAGGCAUGCGUCCCAUUAGCUUGUUGGUGAGGUAACGGCUCACCAAGGCGACGAUGGGUAGGGGAACUGAGAGGUUUAUCCCCCACACUGGUACUGAGACACGGACCAGACUCCUACGGGAGGCAGCAGUGAGGAAUAUUGGUCAAUGGGCGAGAGCCUGAGCCAGCCAAGUCGCGUGAAGGAAGACAGUCCUAAGGAUUGUAAACUUCUUUUAUACGGGAAUAACGGGCGAUACGAGUAUUGCAUUGAAUGUA